GAGCAGCCUGGCAGGAGUGAGACGUCGAGCAGAGUGCCUUGUGAGCUGCCUGGGGAACCACACCCCCUACACUAGGAAUACUGCAAGUGCCCUUGACACCCAGCUUCCUCCACAAGAGGUCCCAAUAACCUCACAGGGAGCUGAGGAGAAGAGUCAGCUCAGGAGAACGGAUCCCCAAAGUCAUGGAGGAUGAAUUCCCUCUUCAGCAGACUGGUGAUCACUGCUCUGAUCCCUUACCAAGCAGUGAAGACACAAAGAAUGUCACCAGAAUUCACUCUGAGCAUCAUUACAAACCUUGCACGGCCCAUGCUGAGCCUGAUGCCACUAUCUCAGAGCUCUCUGCUGGUGAACUGCUGAAAUAGCCAGCCUCCCCUGGCAGUGAAGGCCUUCCAAAUGAAUGUGACAGGCAAGGUUCAGGCUUGGAAGCAGACCACGUAAUGCAAACACCACAAAGCUUUGCAUUCUGAAAAGGAGAUGAUGCCUCAGCGCUAAGCAGGGCACCCUGGCUGCCCCAACCACUACCCAGUUUGUAACAGCACAGUGUUUCCCAGCUCCUCCUCUCUCAUGAGCUUAUGCCAACCACAAAUUCUUUGGGAGGCUUGCUUGGACUUCUGCAGUUAAAUACUGGUUUCAUCUUUCUGAAAGCAGUUUGCAGACAGCAGCAAAAUUAACGUGGGAGUAGCUGGCCCUGUUUAUACCAGCAACUGAUUAAUUACGUCCUCUUGAAGAAUAAAAGCAAUGGAAGUUGCCAUAUGCCAGGAAACUUGCCAUGAAUCACUGGAAUCGGGACUGGGGGAGUCACAGGACUGGCACAGCUAAAGCCAGUGGCUCAAGAUGGCCCCAAGAUGACAGUGCACUGUGCAGGUACAGCUGAGGGGCCCAUCAGCACGGCUCCACAACGGGCUUCAUACAAGAUUAGGACAACUGCCUGCACUGCUGUGUUUUUUAAAAGCAAGCUGAUACCAAAGGGGUCAACUUGAAGAAAACAAAAAAAAAAAAAGACCUAAUAACUACUGUGAACUAUGAGGAUUACCAUUAUAUAUUAUACAAUCCAAGAGGAUAGUCAUUCUAACACGCUGCGUCCAUUUUAAGCAUAGGAAAUUAAAUGGAAAAAUACUACAACAGUCCAGUUACAGACAACUGUGCAAUCUGGUAGAUCAAAUUACAUGUCCAGAGCUUAAGUUUUAGUUUUAUGAACUACCUUAUGGACAGCUGAACACCAAUAUACAGAAAUAUCAACAACAGCAGACAUCUGAGAUCCUGAUGAUAUAAAUGGUUAAAUUUUCACGAGACCAUUUUCAGAGAAAUUCAAGCCUACAGUUUUGCUCUCUGGAUGGUAAAACUACAGCUCUCCCUUACACAAAAAAGAUGAUGAAGCUUGAAGUACAGGCACCAUACAUAUUUUAUUGACACAGAUUUCUUCAGUUUUGACUGUAUUAAUUCAGCUGACAACAGUGUAAUAAUUUGAAAAAAGUUCUUCUCCUUGCUUGAUGUCUCUGAGAGUGACCAGAACUACGCACCUCAAGUGGCUGUAAAAGAAGAAGGAAAACGUGUCAAAGUGAACAGUUAUAUUUUUCUUUGAAUUGUUUCCAAUUCUUCAUUUCAAGAAGCUAACCAGUGGCCUCAUCCAGAUUAGUUUUGAGUAAUAUGCGUAAUGCAGGGCAGGGAACAUGGGAAAACAACACUGGAAUACAGACAGCAAUAUAAGGAAAACCAAUAUAAUUUAAAAACCAACAGCCUAUGUGGGUAUGAAAGAAGUGUUUCCACUCAUUUGUUCCACACAAUGAUUCAGAGAUGAAAAGAAUUAGUCAAGACUGCAAGAGACACACUUACUCAGACAGGAACAGAAGCUGCAGCAAAGUUCAUGCGGCAGAAGCCACUCCUGUGGACACACCUGUCCAGAGGCGCCAGCUGGCUAAAGCGUCUCUCCUAAGGCCUGCCACCACGCAGGAAGACGGCUCCCAGCUGCACCAGAGACCCGCUGCCAUCUGCAGAUGGUCAGCUGUCACACAAUCACGAGGUUGGAAAAGACCUUUAAGACCACUGAGUCCAAUCCAUGUCCGAACACCUCAACUGAAGGAUGGCCCCACGUGCCACAUCCAGUCUUUGUUUAAAAACAUCCAGGGAUGGUGACUCCACUACCUCCCUGGGCAAACUAUUCCAGUACCAUUCCAUUUAUCACUCCUCCUGUGAAAAACUUUUUCCUAACAUCCAACCUAUAUUUCCCUUGGUGCAGCUUAGGUGUGUCCUCUAUUUCUGUCAGCUGCUGCCUGGUGAAAGAGACCAACCCCCACCUGGCCACAGCCACCUCUCAGGAACUUGUAGACAAGUGAUAAAGUCACUCCUGAGUCUCCUUUUCUCCAGGAUAAACACCCCCAGCUCCCUCAGUCAGCUGAAAUCAGGGGCUGGCAGCCAGUUCCUCACAGAGAAAUGUAGAAACCCACCUCUCUGAGCUUCCUUUUAGUGAAUGACCAUGCCCUAAAACUGAAGUAUGUAUUCCGGGAAGGAGAGCACAUGUUUUGCGUACUGAUGAACCAGGAAGUGGAAAACAGCGUCACUAUUCAAAAUUUAGGUGAGGCCAUUUUGAAACAUAUUGAAACAACAAGGUAAAUAAGUACUGAGAACUGUUUCAUAAGACAUAAAAAUAUCUAGAAACCAGAUAAUCUAUGUUGUCAGCAUGGUAUACAUCAGUAUUGAAACAAGCACCUACAAGCAGAUGAAGGGGAUCUUUUGUCUGGUGGCAGCACACUGGGAGAAAUGAUGACCAGAAGAUUGUAUUUUUUGGACAGAUUCCAAGCAAGAGCAAAAUUCCCGCUUCCUGAAACAGUCCUUUAGUUUAUGUGCUUUCACACGUCAAGUACAGUAUCCAGGCUUCCUGAGAAUUUUGUCUUACUGCUUAUUUUAUUAGCACUUAUUUAAUUAUCUAGAGAUUCCAAGUGCAUCUUUAACCUUCACUUCAACAAACUCUAAGUUUAAUCAGAAAAGCCGUUUUUCCAGUAUGCACCACUACUUUCUCCAGUGUCAAAGAGUAUUUAAGUUACUCCAGAAUUACACUAGAAGUUCAGAUGAUCUAUUCUAAAAUUCUUAUACAUCCUUGAAAUAAAGAUAAAAGGAUUAUCUGAGAAAUAUUUCCAAGUAUUCUAAUUUCUGAAAAAAGGUGCACUUUCAAGUCAUGAACAGGAUGCUGUAAUUUUACUAAUUGUACUGUAACUAUAUGCCCUUAUAUUGCACAGUAUUUCACAUUGUAUUGUCUCAAUGCAAUGUUAGGUUUCUUCUUGCAAAUUCAUCUGCUUAUUUGUCACAUAAGCAAAAGAGAUGGAGAACAGAGAGUAAGAAGCCUAAAUUUGAAUUAUCUCAGAAGGGCUUUGGUCAAGGCUGAAACAGACUUGAGAUAUGUACUGAAAAGCCUCAGUACUGUAAUACAAAGUACAAGUACUGCUUUAUGGGAUUCAGUAGAAUUGCACUGUAGUGCAACACUGCUUGUAAAAGUAUGUCUUCAGAUACGCUGAUUUCAUGU